GGAGGAGUGGCAGAGUGGUUGAAUGCGGCGGUCUCGAAAACCGUUUACCCGGUGUUCCCGGGUACGAGGGUUCGAAUCCCUCCUCCUCCGCCA
rnacentral:tRNA from 3 species